CCAGACUCCUACGGGAGGCAGCAGUGGGGGAUAUUGCACAAUGGGGGGAACCCUGAUGCAGCGACGCCGCGUGGGUGAAGGAGUGCUUCGGCAUGUAAAGCCCUAUCGGCAGGGAAGAAGCAAGACGGUACCUGACUAAGAAGCCCCGGCUAACUACGUGCCAGCAGCCGCGGUAAUACGUAGGUGGCAAGCGUUAUCCGGAUUUACUGGGUGUAAAGGGCGUGUAGGCGGGGACGCAAGUCAGAUGUGAAAACCACGGGCUCAACCUGUGGCCUGCAUUUGAAACUGUGUUUCUUGAGUACUGGAGAGGCAGGCGGAAUUCCUGGUGUAGCGGUGAAAUGCGUAGAUAUCAGGAGGAACACCGGUGGCGAAGGCGGCCUGCUGGACUGCAACUGACGUUGAGGCCCGAAAGCGUGGGGAGCAAACAGGAUUAGAUACCCCGGUAG
rnacentral:rRNA from 1 species